rnacentral:rRNA from 1 species
CCAGACUCCUACGGGAGGCAGCAGUGGGGAAUAUUGCACAAUGGGCGAAAGCCUGAUGCAGCAACGCCGCGUGAAGGAAGAAGGCUUUCGGGCUGUAAACUUCUUUUCUGAGGGACGAAGGAAGUGACGGUACCUCAGGAAUAAGCCACGGCUAACUACGUGCCAGCAGCCGCGGUAAUACGUAGGUGGCAAGCGUUAUCCGGAUUUAUUGGGUGUAAAGGGCGUGUAGGCGGGAAUGCAAGUCAGAUGUGAAAACUAUGGGCUCAACCCAUAGCCUGCAUUUGAAACUGUAUUUCUUGAGUGCUGGAGAGGCAAUCGGAAUUCCGUGUGUAGCGGUGAAAUGCGUAGAUAUUAGGAGGAACACCAGUGGCGAAGGCGACUUUCUGGACUGUACCUGACGCUGAGGCGCGAAAGCGUGGGUAGCGAACGGGAUUAGAUACCCGUGUA